rnacentral:rRNA from 1 species
AUUGAACGCUGGCGGCAUGCCUAACACAUGCAAGUCGAACGGUAACAGGUCCCGUAGCAAUACGGGAUGCUGACGAGUGGCGGACGGGUGAGUAAUGCGUAGGAAUUUACCUCAAAGCGGGGGAUAGCCCGGAGAAAUCCGGAUUAAUACCGCAUGUACUCUACGGAGGAAAGCGGGCCUCUACUUGUAAGCUCGCACUUUGAGAUAAGCCUACGUCGGAUUAGCUAGUUGGUAGGGUAAAGGCCUACCAAGGCGACGAUCCGUAGCUGGUUUGAGAGGAUGAUCAGCCACACUGGGACUGAGACACGGCCCAGACUCCUACGGGAGGCAGCAGUGGGGAAUAUUGGACAAUGGGCGAAAGCCUGAUCCAGCAAUGCCGCGUGUGUGAAGAAGGCCUGCGGGUUGUAAAGCACUUUUAUCAGGAAAGAAAAUCUCGGGGCUAAUAUCCCCGGGCCUUGACGGUACCUGAUGAAUAAGCACCGGCUAACUCCGUGCCAGCAGCCGCCGUAA